rnacentral:rRNA from 1 species
AUGCUUCAGGCGGGCGCGGGGCGGGGGCCGCCGCACGACGCGGCAGCGGGGGCCACCGGCGCGGGAGGCGGUGGACGCGACCGCAUCAGCGACCUCACGGACGACCUGUGCCACCACGUCUUCUCCUACAUGAAGGCGUGGGAGGUGGUCCGCACGAGCGCGCUCUCGAGGCGGUGGCGCCGCACCUGGGCCUCCGCGCCGUGCCUCGACAUCCGCUGGCUGUGCGCCUGCUCCCGCCGCGUUGACCAGGAUUGGUACGCCGAGUUCGUCAAGCACCUGCUUCUCCGGCGGGACCGCAAGCCGUUGAACACGCUCCGGCUGCACUGGAACCACGACGACGCCAACACGUGGAUCGUUCAUGCUCUCAGGCGCAAUGCCACAGCUAUCCAGCUCUCCGCCAAGCAUCACCGCCCAAUCCUCAAGCUGGAUUGCACGGUCUUCCUUUCUGGCAACCUCAACAUCUUGCAGCUCGCCAACGUGUCCUUGCACAGCCGCUCCCUCUCGGGGCUCCGUUCUAGGUGUACUUCUUUGGAAGAACUAGAGCUCAGGAAAGCUCUCAUAUUUGCCUCGGAGAUUCGAUCAACCUCACUCAAGCGUUUGACUAUGGUCAACUGUGGAAUCUUUAACGGCCUCACGGUUGACGCUUCGAACCUUGCAGCCCUGCGAUGCAUCAGACCUCGCAGUUUUGUUCCUCAGAUCGAGAACUCGGGGUCACUAGUGACGGCCACUAUCAUGCUUGAUGACGCUUGCUUGCAACAUGCUCGCCCAUGGUCAGUACAGGAUGAUGAGAACGAUGGCGACACAUAUACUGAUGCUGAGGACUCUGACAUCAAUGAAUCUCAAUCUCAAUCUGAUGAUGAUAGCUGUGCAGUUGCUGAUGAGCAUGCAAGGGAUCGUGAGCAUCAUGGAAGCGGUGAUAUUGUAGUUUAUGGUGGCAAACGUAUUUUUCACAGCCUCUCGAAUGUCAGAACAAUGAACUUGUCAGCUCAUCGAGGAGAGGUUCUGCUGACUACGGAACUGGAGAACUGCCCUGUGUUCGAAAACCUGAGGACUCUAUCCCUUGGUGAAUGGUGUAUAGAUAGCGAGUUUAAUGCAUUAUCAACCAUGCUUGAGAAAUCUCCCAACUUAGAGAACCUUUUCGUUCACCUCGAGAAGGCCUGCAACAGCAGAGAUAACAGCAACCCAAGUGAAACAUCAUGUACUUACAACAACCUGAAGGUGAAGAUCUCAUAUUCAGGGGAUGGCAUGAUUGCCCGUCAGCUCGAAGACUUCUUCCGCACCAAUAAUGGCUCAUGGGAGAAGCGCAAGGCGCAAGGCAAAGCUGCCGAGAGUUCAGCGAAGCAGAGGAGGAUAAGGAGCCCAGAGGGAGGGCAAGGUGGUGGGAACUAG